rnacentral:rRNA from 1 species
CGUGUAGGCGGUCAGACAAGUCGGAUGUGAAAUCCUCCGGCUCAACUGGAGAACUGCGUUCGAAACUGUCUGACUUGGGUACAGGAGAGGAGAGUGGAACUCCCAGUGUAGCGGUGAAAUGCGUAGAUAUUGGGAGGAACACCGGUGGCGAAGGCGACUCUCUAGCCUGAUACCGACGCUGAGGCGCGAAAGCCAGGGGAGCGAACAGGAUUAGAUACCCUGGUAGUCC